GGGUCGUUUUUUGGAUUUAAUAGUUUAGACGGCUGUGGAUCCCCUAGCCCGGGUUCAAAUCCCGGCCCCGGCCCCA
rnacentral:tRNA from 1 species